rnacentral:tRNA from 1 species
GGGGAUAUGGUUCAGAUGGUAGAGAACUAGCCUAGUAAGCAGAAGGCUUUGAGUUCAAACCUCAAUAUCACCA